rnacentral:tRNA from 2 species
AAUGUAUUUCGACCACGGCAGCGGCUCGCGGAUUUUCGCUCCGCGCAGCGAGUAGGUGUUGUGCAGGGUGUGGGUCACGUCCUCAGCGGAUUC